UGCGCCUGCGACGGAUGCAGCAUGAUCCAAUGAGUUUACGGCUUUGCAGGCAGCCAGAUCAUGUACCAUCUCGUGAUCCGCAAUUUUGCGGAUUCAAAAUCUC
rnacentral:sRNA from 1 species